rnacentral:lncRNA from 1 species
UAUGAUACAAAUGGGCCUAUAAGAAGUCUAUUGGGCCUAAUUAUUCUUUAGCCACAUGUGCAGUAAUUGCUAUAAAUCAAUAAUACAAAUACAUGAAGUUGAUCGAAGAUUUUUGUGAAUAUGUCAAACAAUUAUUUUUCUCUUAGAACAUGCUUAAGGGUGAUUUUCUUUUCUUCAACUAGUUCUCAAAUGAAAUGAUUAGGAAUAUCAAUAUGUU